UACGUAGGGUGCGAGCGUUGCCCGGAUUUAUUGGGCGUAAAGGGCGCGUAGGCGGCUCGGCACGUCCGUUGUGAAAUCGCCCGGCUCAACUGGGCGGGGUCAGCGGAUACGGUCGAGCUUGAGCAAGCUAGGGGGUAAUGGAAUUCCCGGUGUAGUGGUGAAAUGCGUAGAUAUGCGGAGGAACACCGAUGGCGAAGGCAAUCCCCUGGGCCUGCACUGACGCUCAUGCACGAAAGCGUGGGGAGCAAACAGG
rnacentral:rRNA from 1 species